CGAGAGCAAGCGGACCUCAUAAAGUGCGUCGUAGUCCGGAUUGGAGUCUGCAACUCGACUCCAUGAAGUCGGAAUCGCUAGUAAUCGUGGAUCAGAAUGCCACGGUGAAUACGUUCCCGGGCCUUGUACACACCGCCCGUCACACCAUGGGAGUGGGUUGCAAAAGAAGUAGGUAGCUUAACCUUCGGGAGGGCGCUUACCACUUUGUGAUUCAUGACUGGGGUGAAGUCGUAACAAGGUAACCGUAGGGGAACCUGCGGUUGGAUCAC
rnacentral:rRNA from 1 species